rnacentral:RNase_P_RNA from 1 species
UAAUACAGACAAUCGCUAUGGCAACAUAGAGGAAAGUCCACACUGCCGCAGGCUGAGAUGCCUGCGCCAAUAGGAUUGAGCCUCUCGCAAGGGAGGGCGGGGCAACCCGACGGCGGAGAAAAUGCACUCACUGAGGCAUGAGUAUCCUGAAAGUGCAACAGAGACGAGCUUUUCCGGCGACGGAGAAGGUGGAACGUUUGUAAACCCCUCAAUGCAGAAACCCAAAUUAAGGUAGGGGAACCCCCUCAAGGGAAUAAAACUAGCGGGGGACCAGAAAUGGUAGACAGAUGAUUGUCCGCGACAGAAAGUGGCUUACCGUA